rnacentral:rRNA from 1 species
GACGAACGCUGGCGGCGUGCUUAAUACAUGCAAGUCGAACGGAAAGACCCUGCGUUUGUGGGUUGCUCGAGUGGCGAACGGGGGAGUAACACGUGAGGAACCUGUCCUUGACUUUGGGGUAACUUCAGGAAACUGGGGCUAAUAUCGGAGAGGAUCUCCUGCUGCAUGUGGGUGGUUGGAAAGUGUCGGCUGUUGGGGAUGGACUCGAUGCUUAUGAGCUUGUUAGGGGGGUAGGUGCUGACAAAGCCUUUGACGGAUAGCCGGCAUGGGAGCGGUGACGGCGACCAUGGGCCUGCGAUACGGACCAGUAUCCUACGGGCGGCAGCAGUGGGGAAUAUGGCACAAUGGGGCGACGUCUGAUGCAGCGACCCUGCGUGCGUGAUGACCGGCUUCGAGUUGUGAACCGCUUUCGCCGGUGACGUACACUGCGUGACGGUACUGGGUCAAGAAGCCCCGGCUAACUACGUG